GCAAAGCAUGGACAGCCAAAACAAAGUAAGUUAAUGUAGUCUUUAACUUUUCUUACAAAGCUAUGGGUCAUUUUCAACCUCAUUAGGCAACCGUGGCAAAUGCUGCUCUUGUGAUUUUAAGCAGUUUAUGGAAAUGCAAGGCUGCAAAGUCCCUAGGUGGAAAGGUCUCAAGGUCUCACACCCCUAUCAGCCAGAUUACCAUUCAUGUGGAGCAUUCAUGUGCAAAGUAGGUGGACAUUGGAGACAUGACUUUGAUCAUUCUCCUGUAAAGGUACUGUUCCUGUAAUAGUGUGUUUUAGACUGGUCCUAGUUACUGCCACAGUGUGAAUUGAAUGCCAAAUUUCAGAUUUAUUUUGUCAGUUUGCAGAGUACCUUCUACGAGGUGAAAACAUGUAUUUCUCUACACAAAUGGAACACCUGGACCAAAUGUUCCCUGAAAUAGCCCUGCACUUGACGUUCUAAUCAUUGACAAAUGCAUUUAAAUAUGCCUCUCUCCACAGAACAUCAACAGACUGUGCAGAGUGUGUGAAAAAAGAACCACACCUGAUGGAACAACAGAAACUAUAUGGGCAACCCAUUGAUGAAGCUGCGGACCAACAUUUGUCGUUUUUGUGGCUGGGGAAGAACAGCAUUUUAAAUGUAUUUUUCAAUUGAUAAGGCCGGGAAGAACAGCAUUUAAAAUGUAUUUCUCAAUUGAUGAGGCUGGGUAUGAACAGCAUUUUUUGUUGUUGUCAUAUGCAAGUGUCUUUUCGAGCAGUUAGAGGUGAUCUACACUGUCUGAGAAAGGGAUACUUCCCCAUGUUGUCUCCAAUGCUUCCCACAGUUGUGUCAAGUUGGCUGGAU